UACGUAGGGUGCGAGCGUUAAUCGGAAUUACUGGGCGUAAAGCGUGCGCAGGCGGCUUUGCAAGACAGAUGUGAAAUCCCCGGGCUUAACCUGGGAACUGCAUUUGUGACUGCAAGGCUAGAGUACGGCAGAGGGGGAUGGAAUUCCGCGUGUAGCAGUGAAAUGCGUAGAUAUGCGGAGGAACACCGAUGGCGAAGGCAAUCCCCUGGGCCUGUACUGACGCUCAUGCACGAAAGCGUGGGGAGCAAACAGG
rnacentral:rRNA from 1 species